CUUAUCAUGAGCGGCGGAGGAAACGGGUCCUGUGAAGCCGCGGCAACCCCGUCAGUCAGACGAACGGUGCCAAGUCCUGCGGUGCGCUGCGCCGGAAGAUGAGG
rnacentral:ncRNA from 1 species